rnacentral:rRNA from 1 species
AUAUUGGACAAUGGGGGCAACCCUGAUCCAGCCAUGCCGCGUGUGUUAAGAAGGUCUUCGGAUUGUAAAGCACUUCAAGUUGGGAGGAAGGGCAGUAAGUUAAUACCUUGCUGCUUUGACGUUACCGACAGAAUAAGCACCGGCUAACUUCUUGCUAGCAGCCGCGGUAAUACGAAGGGUGCAAGCGUUAAUCGGAAUUACUGGGCGUAAAGCGCGCGUAGGUGGUUUGCCAAGUUGGAAGUGAAAGCCCCGGGCUCAACCUGGGAACUGCUUUCAAAACUGGCAAGCUAGAGUAUGGCAGAGGGUGGUGGAAUUUCCUGUGUAGCGGUGAAAUGCGUAGAUAUAGGAAGGAACACCAGUGGCGAAGGCGACUACCUGGACUGAUACUGACACUGAGGUGCGAAAGCGUGGGGAGCAAAC